rnacentral:rRNA from 1 species
AACGAACGCUGGCGGCAUGCCUAACACAUGCAAGUCGAACGAGACCUUCGGGUCUAGUGGCGCACGGGUGCGUAACGCGUGGGAACCUGCCCUUAGGUUCGGAAUAACUCCCCGAAAGGGGUGCUAAUACCGGAUAAUGUCUUCGGACCAAAGAUUUAUCGCCUUUGGAUGGGCCCGCGUUGGAUUAGCUAGUUGGUAGGGUAAAAGCCUACCAAGGCGACGAUCCAUAGCUGGUCUGAGAGGAUGAUCAGCCACACUGGGACUGAGACACGGCCCAGACUCCUACGGGAGGCAGCAGUGGGGAAUAUUGGACAGUGGGCGAACGCCUGAUCCAGCAAUGCCGCGUGAGUGAUGAAGGCCUUAGGGUUGUAAAGCUCUUUUAACCGGGAUGAUAAUGACAGUACCGGGAGAAUAAGCUCCGGCUAACUCCGUG